AACCCUUAUCCUCAAUAAAAAUUUGAAUUUUUCUCAAUGAAAUUUCCAAAAUGUCCCCCAAUUUCGCAAUCCUAUAUUGCUGGUUCAUCAAGAAUCCCAUUUCAAAAAUCACUAUAAAUACCUCCACUAUUCAUCAGUGAAGGGGAUGGUCAUUCCUAGGCAAGAACCCCAUUAUAAGGGAUUUUGCCAUUAAUAAGAAUUUUCAUAGCCAAAAGGUCCUAUAAGACUCCGUAGCUUUUGGCAAAGAAAACUCAAAGCGAAGUAAUUUCGGUCAAAGCUCGUCAUCCCCAUUUGCUACCUCAAAAAAGAU
rnacentral:lncRNA from 1 species